rnacentral:rRNA from 1 species
CAGCAGCCGCGGUAAUACAGAGGGUGCGAGCGUUAAUCGGAUUUACUGGGCGUAAAGCGUGCGUAGGCGGCUUUUUAAGUCGGAUGUGAAAUCCCUGAGCUUAACUUAGGAAUUGCAUUCGAUACUGGGAAGCUAGAGUAUGGGAGAGGAUGGUAGAAUUCCAGGUGUAGCGGUGAAAUGCGUAGAGAUCUGGAGGAAUACCGAUGGCGAAGGCAGCCAUCUGGCCUAAUACUGACGCUGAGGUACGAAAGCAUGGGGAGCAAACAGGAUUAGAUACCCCCUAGUCCCUGUCUCUUAUACA